rnacentral:misc_RNA from 1 species
GGAAGGAUCAUUAAUGGUGCUUGCAGAAAUGCUUGCACGGCGGCGGCCUUAAAACGCGCCAAAUGGCACCCUUUGUUUACGAGUACCGUUCGUUUCCUCGGUGGGCUUGCCUGCCAUGAGGACCAACAAAAACCUUUUGUAGUAGCAGUAUCUUCAGUAAAAACAAAUAUUAAAACUUUCAACAACGGAUCUCUUGGUUCUGGCAUCGAUGAAGAACGCAGCGAAAUGCGAUAAGUAGUGUGAAUUGCAGAAUUCAGUGAAUCAUCGAAUCUUUGAACGCACAUUGCGCCCUUCGGUAUUCCGUUGGGCAUGCCUGUUCGAGCGUCAUUUAAUCAUUCAAGCUCUGCUUGGUGUUGGGUGUUUGUUCCGCCUCAGCGCGUGGACUCGCCUUAAAUUCAUUGGCAGCCGGUAUGUUGGCUUCGUGCGCAGCACAUUGCGUCGCGAUUCUGGCAGGCCUCCUCCCAUUAAGCUUCUUUUAAGUUUGACCUCGGAUCAGGUAGGGAUACCCGCUGAACUUAAGCAUAUCAAUAAGCGGAGGAAAAGAAACCAACAGGGAUUGCCCCAGUAACGGCGAGUGAAGCGGCAAUAGCUCAAAUUUGAAAUCUGGCUCUUUCAGGGUCCGAGUUGUAAUUUGCAGAGGGCGCUUUGGCGUCGGCAGCAGCCUAAGUUCCUUGGAACAGGUCAUCAUAGAGGGUGAGAAUCCCGUAUGUGGCUGCUUGUCUUCGCCGUGUAAAGCCCCUUCGAUGAGUCGAGUUGUUUGGGAAUGCAGCUCUAAAUGGGAGGUAAAUUUCUUCUAAAGCUAAAUAUUGGCCAGAGACCGAUAGCGCACAAGUAGAGUGAUCGAAAGAUGAAAAGCACUUUGGAAAGAGAGUCAAAAAGCACGUGAAAUUGUUGAAAGGGAAGCGCUUGCAGCCAGACGUGCCCGUAGUUGCUCAUCGGGGGUUCUCCCCCGUGUACUCUUCUAUGGGCAGGCCAGCAUCAGUCCGGGCGGUUGGAGAAAGACCUGUGUCAUGUAGCUGUUUUCGGGCAGUGUUAUAGGGCAGGUGGAAUGCAACCAGCCUGGACUGAGGUCCGCGCAUCUGCUAGGAUGCUGGCGUAAUGGCUGUAAGCGGCCCGUCUUGAAACACGGACCAAGGAGUCUAACAUCUAUGCGAGUGUUUGGGUGUCAAGCCCGAGCGCGUAAUGAAAGUGAACGGAGGUGGGAACCUUUUAGGUGCACCAUCGACCGAUCCUGAUGUCUUCGGAUGGAUUUGAGUAAGAGCAUAGCUGUUGGGACCCGAAAGAUGGUGAACUAUGCCUGAAUAGGGUGAAGCCAGAGGAAACUCUGGUGGAGGCUCGCAGCGGUUCUGACGUGCAAAUCGAUCGUCAAAUUUGGGCAUAGGGGCGAAAGACUAAUCGAACUAUCUAGUAGCUGGUUCCUGC